AACGCACAUUGCGCCCUUUAGUAUUCUGAAGGGCAUGCCUGUUCGAGCGUCAUUAUCACUAAUCAAGCCCGGCUUGCUGUUGGACCUCUUGUCGUUAAAAGACAGGCCCCAAAGAUAAUGACGGCGUCACUUGGACCCUAGAUGCAACGAGCUUUCAUUAGCACGCAUCCUAGUUGUGUCCUUGUGACCCGGUCUAGUUUUAACCAAUUUCUUAAGGUUGACCUCGGAUCAGGUAGGAAUACCCGCUGAACUUAA
rnacentral:misc_RNA from 1 species